AAAAAGGGUUUUUAUCAAAACCCUAAAUCACAAGAAAUUCAGCCAAAUCAAGGGAAAUCAAGCUAGGAAAUUGGGGCUUUUAAUAAAUUAGUGAUCACCAAACCUAGGGGAUCACAAGUUUGACGCCUAACAAGCUAGGUGGAAGCUUGUGGAUGAAGCGGGUCAAACGGAGCGCGUACGGAAAGAAAGGCGUGGCAUGGAUGCAAGGUGUAAAUGUCAAAUGGGUAUUAGCAACGCUAUGAAUUAGCGGUUAUAAAAGCAAGGUAUUAAAAACGGGUCAAUAUAUUGAUCUGCGCCAGGUACACCUUGGACGCCGGAAGACGAUCAAGCUC
rnacentral:lncRNA from 1 species